GCCAAUGUGGUUUAGUGGUUAGAGUGUUGGACUAAGACCCGGGAGACCAGGGUUCAAAUCCCCACUUUGGCC
rnacentral:tRNA from 1 species